UCGUCAGUCUCGCGAGCUUGACGGUCACGCCUCAUCAGUCUCGCGAGCUUGACGGGCCAGCUCUAAUACACAUUUAAGGGGGACCGCGCAGAGAUAUAAUGGCGCACAUCACACACUUCAGAUGUGGAGAGACAGGGGAUCCUGAUCUAAAAAGAGAAGGAAACCUGUACAAGUGCCAGUGUUGUUCUUUCAGAACAGACAGAGAACACAGCAUGAAAUAUCAUGUGAAGAACCAUUUGACCCUGGCAGUGCAGCAUGCAGGAUACCUUAUCUGUAAAUGCAGUCUGAUGUGCAGAGAAAAUUCACAUUUCCAUUGCUUGUACUGCCACAAAACAAUAAUAAAGAAGAUUCAGUUCAUCACCCAUUUACAAUUGUGCAGUAAAACAUCCCCUUGUCCUGUUGAUGACACCACAAGAGGACCUUCUUCCGCUCCCACUGCUUGUACUUGCACAGAAUCUACUGCUCCUACAUCUUCUUCUCCAACUCCUCCUCCACCUGUUAUUCCUCUACCACUGGUUCCUGAUUCUCUUCCUCCAACUUCUCCUCAGCCUACUGAUGCUUUACCACCACAGAAACCACCCAGACUCUGUGGACAGAGGCAGCACACUGUCAUGUGUAUUCAUUGUGGAAUAGAGAUAAACAAACGUAACUUAAGGGUACAUCUACUGAGGAAACAUACUGACAAUAAGAAGGAUAUAACCGCACAGCAUCAUCUUAGUUGUGAGUGUGUUGAUGCUACGAAUGGCAUUUUUGCCGUAGCAAAGUCAUUUACAGGCCCCAAUACACCUAUUCACGUCAUUAAAAAGAAUUGGGGUAUGAAUCAGCAAACAAGAUGUGAAAUGGAUCUGUGUAGGAUCAACUCAGAAUUUGCACAAAGAAGUAACUUACAUCCAUUUGAGUGUCAGCAUGUUAAGUCCCUCACCUAUUGCCCACCUGCUAAAAUUUAUUCUCCUACUCUUGAAGAGGAUACUUUGACGGAAAUGGUUCAUGAUAAGUGGUUUGGGAAUGAUAAAAAGAAUCUAUGUCUGCAACGGCAAAGAGAGGCAAAUAAUGGACGAGCCCCUCUGUCAUGCCAGGUUACAGUAGGUGGGCCUCCAUCAAAAAGAUUUAUUUCUGUGUUUGAGCCGAACAUUUCUUAUUAUAGCAGGUUAGGUAGAGUGCUUGUUUCCUUUGACACAAAGAGGAUUGAAUGGCACUGCCCAUGUGCAAAGUCUAGGCAGUCUUGCAUUCACAAAUGCAUUGCAAAGUGGCAUCUGUUUCAGACGGAACAGAUGCUUUUCAGACGUGUUCGGAUAGUGGAAGAUGAUAUCCAGGAAGUAUUUACAGAAGGUACAGAGGAUGUGGAAGAACAGCAACUGGAUGAAGGGCCACGGUAUCCACCGGAAGAUGCACAACUCUCACGAAUGGUGCACUAUAUCUUCAAAAACAAGAAGCUUCCUGCAGUUCUCCCUGCUGAUGUAGCCAAUGCAAGAAAUGUUUUCCCAAAGCACUUGGUUCCAUUGGAGACCAUUUGCACAGAAUGCACAGAAAACACUCUACUUAGUGAACCUCAGCUUAUCACUUCAAAAGCAACAAUCUUGACUAUGACAGAUGUCAUUGAAGGGAUUUCAACAUACUGCAAGUGCUGCUACAGGUGUGGUAUGAUCUAUCGCUACCAGGAAUGGUCUGAUGGAGUUCACAACUAUGAUGACCACAUACUUCUGUCCUUGCAUCUCUGUAUCUUCCUUCGCAACAGUCUCCAAACUCACCAGGCUAUUGGAAGUGCUGUAGAAGCAUUAGAGAAGACGUGUGGUAAAAGAUUUCCAUCACAUCAAAGAGUGUUGUAUGCGUAUCUCCAUUUUGAGGCCCUGACAGAUCACUCGUACACUUUUGCAUGUGUAACGUGUGGUUACCAUCCUGUAACAGUUGUCAUGGACCUUCAUAAAAAGGGAGUCUUUAGUAUGCCUGUGAGCAACAUUGAGGUACCACCUCAGGAUUUUGAUGGGAAAGUCAAUGCUGAAGAGUUUUGGGAAGGGGUAUCAUUGGAAAUGAUCAGUCGUGGCUUGGUGCCAAGCAAUAGACAAAACCCAUUUGUGGUUUGUCCAAGCUACCAUUACUGGGCCCCAUGGAUUGGUCGCCACACAAGAAGCACCAGUAUGGUCUUAAACACAGAGUACAGUAAAGUCCAUACAGCCCGCACUCCAGAUGAAGCAUCUGACUUCAACAUCACAGAGGACCGUCUCACAGACGAGAUUCUUAAACUUAAGAUGGAAGCUGUGCGUAGUUUAUGCAAGCAGUGUGGCAUAGACUCCAAGGGCUCCAGAAUGGACUUAGUUAUGAGGUUGCGCCAAGAAAUGCAAACCCGAGGAACAUAUGACAAAAUCUUUUCUAAGGUCUGGGGAGCAUCUGGUGGAUGGGCUGUGGUUACCUGUCCCUGUGCUAUUGUGUACGCCGUAAAAUUUAACCUAAGGGCAGAGAGCCCAAGAGAUUUUUCAGACAUUCUAUUAUCAAUGACUCAUUUCCCCAAUCUGACAUUGUAUGAUUUUGCCAGAGGGCUGGCAACCCAUACAAAUCUGAGGGAGCCAGAGUCUAUGCCUUUUAGCCCCUAUGAGGGCAGGCUGCUUGAACCAACAGACAACAAUGUCAGACUGGCUUCAGCAGGGCAGAUUAAAGUGAGUUUGCCUUGGCUGACAAGUAAAAAGGUUGUACCUGAUGAAAAUGGUCACCCCCUGACAGGGUCAUCAGAGCAUUAUGCUCUAUAUGACCGCUUCCAUGAGGCAAACACAAAAGACAAAAAGGAUGCUUUGCGCAAAAUAGAACUUAUUCCAGAGGUAUGUGGCUGGGUCAAUAGCCAGUGUGCUGAGCAGCUUUUUGCUGGCAUGAGGAAGAACAAUCACUUCCUUAACAUGAUGACUCCCACAUCACAUAUAUUUUUAGUGCGAAAUAUUUUGCACCACUACAACAAUGCACGCAACACAAAGACUCUUGAAGAGAUGAAGAAAGCAUUACAUGUUGGAAUGGAAAUAGAGUUCAAUUCAAGGGGACAGACAGUAAUGGCAGCAGCAUCGGCACCUGGAGUGUCCACAGCAUCAGCAGCGGCCCCUGGAGUGUCCAGAGCAGCAGCAGCGGCCCCUGGAGUGUCCACAGCAGCAGCAGCAGCGGCCCCUGGUGUGUCCAGAGCAUCAGCCACCCCUGGAGUGUCCAGAGCAGCAGCAGCAGCCCCUGGUGUGUCCAGAGCAUCAGCAGCCCCUGGUGUGUCCAGAGCAUCAGCCACCCCUGGAGUGUCCAGAGCAGCAGCAGCGGCCCCUGGUGUGUCCAGAGCAUCAGCGGCCCCUGGAGUGUCCACAGCAGCAGCGGCAGCGGCCCCUGGUGUGUCCAGAGCAUCAGCCACCCCUGGAGUGUCCAGAGCAGCAGCAGCGGCCCCUGGUGUGUCCAGAGCAUCAGCGGCCCCUGGAGUGUCCAGAGCAUCAGCAGCGGCCCCUGGAAUGUCCGCAGCAGCAGCAGCAGCGGCGGCCCCUGGUGUGUCCAGAGCAUCAGCCACACCUGGAGUGUCCAGAGCAGCAGCAACGGCCCCUGGUGUGUCCAGAGCAUCAGCGGCCCCUGGAGUGUCCAGAGCAUCAGCAGCGGCCCCUGGAAUGUCCACAGCAGCAGCAGCGGCGGCGGCCCCUGGUGUGUCCGCAGCAGCAGCAGCAGCAGCAGCGGCGGCCCCUGGUGUGUCCAGAGCAUCAGCCACCCCUGGAGUGUCCAGAGCAGCAGCAGCGGCCCCUGGUGUGUCCAGAGCAUCAGCGAACCCUGGAGUGUCCACAACAUCAGCAGGGGCCCCUGGUGUGUCCGCAGAAGCAAUAUCGGCCCCUGGUUUGUCCGUAGCAGAAGCAGCACCUGUUGUAUCCAUAGUACCUCAAAUAGCACCAAAAUCUGUGGCAAACUGUUGGAGGCUGACACACUUAGACCAUAUAUGUGCCAGCAGGAAUAUCUGGGACUUCAAACUUCACAAAGGACUGGAGACACUGGUUAAUUCUGCAUUGGAUUCCACACAGUCCGCCCAUGAAGCCAUAGGUUCUGUGGGCGGGACUGCAUUGAAAAGGUCAGACUUCAUGUCCUUAGGAUUGGACCAAGAAGUCGAGGCAACAAUAGCCAACUGUUGCUUUUCAAUAUGUAAAAUUGCGGCACAGCAGGGAAAGGAUGUCCAUGCUGUUGAUGCUUAUGUGGUGGCUCUCAAUGCGGACCCAUUGUUGUCUCUACCAUCAGAUGCAGCAUCAAAAGAUUGUAUCCUUUUCCCCGUAUGGAAACCAGGACACUGGCUCCUAUGUGUUCUCAAGCCAAAAGUUAAGAGGAUUCACAUUCUCGACUCCUCUGGCCCUAGUGCUCAUGGAGAUAUUGAGUGUUUAUCCAUUAUCAGCAUGCUUGCUACAAGGCUUGUUCCAGGAUCCUGGAUAAUUGCUAGAAAUGAGGAUGUUCCAGUACAGUUUGGGAGUUCUGACUGUGGAGUAUUCACGCUUAUGGUGAGGUAUAAACUAACCAAUGAUUGUUAAUUAGUUUGCUCACUACCUUCAUACACAAAAAUCAAUUGUUUGAUAGUACCAGGUAAAAUGGCCAAUACUCAUAGUGAAAUUAAAUUACUGAUGUGAUGGAAGGUGUUUAUUGAAAUGAUUCAUAAUCAAUGACGUGUGAUGAUUCAUAAACAAUGACGACUAUUAAUGAUAUUACUUUUUGUUCCAUGCGAUGAUAAUGUGUACUCAGUAAACUGAACUUAACAUUCUUCCCUCAGUGAGCAUAUCUAAGAUGCUGAGUGAGAGUUUUUCUAUCUGGGAAAAGCAGUGUGUGUCUAUGUGUGCGUGCUAAGGAAUGCACGUCACAGUUGUUCUGUCUACAAUUCUGGCGCCAGGGUCAUUUUUCCUUCUGCUUGCAGAAAGCCAGGGUGUUUUGAGAACCAGCCUGAUAUGCUCACUAAGGGAUUAUGUCAUACCACCUGUCAGAAGAAGUUGACGUGUCACAAUGGUGGCACUGUGCCCAUAAUUGGGAAGUAAGAUAGUAAGGGUUGGGAGGAUCUAAAAGGUAUAAAGAGAGCGUGGCACUCUUGCAAGGGAGGAGAUCACUCUGUAUUCGUACGCGUGUCUUCUCAAUAAAGCUUGUUACUCAUUCUGAUCAAGACUCAGAGACUCUGCAGUUUCGUUCUUCCUGUCAUUAUUUUCCACCACACUGAUUGUUUGCAAAUACAAUGAAAGGAGAUUGUGCUGAUUUUCUUGUAUUGUAUAUGACAGUAUGCACUAUAUGUUGCCCAUGAAUGGACCUUCGACUUCACUCAGCAUGAUAUGCCUAGCAUAAGGAGAUGGUGGGUGAACCUCCUGAUCAACAACAUGACACAUGGAAGGAAGAGGAGAUAUGAUGAUAUCACUGGUCAGUGCAUGGAGCAGGAGUACCAGGGCCCUGAACAGGAGAACUCUGAAUAUUUGAUG